CGGGUGCUCCUCCUUUUGCAGGCGAUGAAUUAAAAAAUCACAUAUAAGUGCUUGAUUUUGGCGAAGUAAGGUUAUAGCAUCUGCUGAUUUUAUAUCUUGCUGAGAUAUAUCAAGUUUUUCAUCAUUCCCUUCAACAUAGGGAGUCAUACAUUCCCCGUCUGAGUUCUGCUGAUACUUCCUGUCAAGCUCAGCUGCUUCAAGCAUUAUUUCAAGAACAAAUUUGUCUCUUUUCCUCUCAAGAUCAGCUACAAUUUUG
rnacentral:misc_RNA from 1 species